rnacentral:rRNA from 1 species
GAGGUUAAGCGACUAAGCGUACACGGUGGAUGCCCUGGCAGUCAGAGGCGAUGAAGGGCGUACUAAUCUGCGAUAAGCGCCGGUAAGGUGAUAUGAACCGUUAUAACCGGCGAUACCCGAAUGGGGAAACCCAGUGUGAUUCGUCACACUAUCAUUAACUGAAUCCAUAGGUUAAUGAGGCGAACCGGGGGAACUGAAACAUCUAAGUACCCCGAGGAAAAGAAAUCAACCGAGAUUCCCCCAGUAGCGGCGAGCGAACGGGGAGGAGCCCAGAGCCUGAAUCAGCAUGUGUGUUAGUGGAAGCGUCUGGAAAGGCGCGCGAUACAGGGUGACAGCCCCGUACACAAAAGCGCAUGUGCUGUGAGCUCGAUGAGUAGGGCGGGACACGUGGUAUCCUGUCUGAAUAUGGGGGGACCAUCCUCCAAGGCUAAAUACUCCUGACUGACCGAUAGUGAACCAGUACCGUGAGGGAAAGGCGAAAAGAACCCCGGCGAGGGGAGUGAAAAAGAACCUGAAACCGUGUACGUACAAGCAGUGGGAGCACCCUUUGGGUGUGACUGCGUACCUUUUGUAUAAUGGGUCAGCGACUUAUAUUCUGUAGCAAGGUUAACCGAAUAGGGGAGCCGGAGGGAAACCGAGUCUUAACCGGGCGUUAAGUUGCAGGGUAUAGACCCGAAACCCGGUGAUCUAGCCAUGGGCAGGUUGAAGGUUGGGUAACACUAACUGGAGGACCGAACCGACUAAUGUUGAAAAAUUAGCGGAUGACCUGUGGCUGGGGGUGAAAGGCCAAUCAAACCGGGAGAUAGCUGGUUCUCCCCGAAAGCUAUUUAGGUAGCGCCUCGUGAAUUCAUCUCCGGGGGUAGAGCACUGUUUCGGCUAGGGGGCCAUCCCGGCUUACCAACCCGAUGCAAACUGCGAAUACCGGAGAAUGUUAUCACGGGAGACACACGGCGGGUGCUAACGUCCGUCGUGAAGAGGGAAACAACCCAGACCGCCAGCUAAGGUCCCAAAGUCAUGGUUAAGUGGGAAACGAUGUGGGAAGGCCCAGACAGCCAGGAUGUUGGCUUAGAAGCAGCCAUCAUUUAAAGAAAGCGUAAUAGCUCACUGGUCGAGUCGGCCUGCGCGGAAGAUGUAACGGGGCUAAACCAUG